AUUGAACGCUGGCGGCAGGCCUAACACAUGCAAGUCGAGCGGAUGAGAGGAGCUUGCUUCUCGAUUCAGCGGCGGACGGGUGAGUAAUGCCUAGGAAUCUGCCUGGUAGUGGGGGACAACGUUUCGAAAGGAACGCUAAUACCGCGUACGUCCUACGGGAGAAAGCAGGGGACCUUCGGGCCUUGCGCUAUCAGAUGAGCCUAGGUCGGAUUAGCUAGUUGGUGAGGUAAUGGCUCACCAAGGCGACGAUCCGUAACUGGUCUGAGAGGAUGAUCAGUCACACUGGAACUGAGACACGGUCCAGACUCCUACGGGAGGCAGCAGUGGGGAAUAUUGGACAAUGGGCGAAAGCCUGAUCCAGCCAUGCCGCGUGUGUGAAGAAGGUCUUCGGAUUGUAAAGCACUUUAAGUUGGGAGGAAGGGUUGUAGAUUAAUACUCUGCAAUUUUGACGUUACCGACAGAAUAAGCACCGGCUAACUCUGUGCCAGCCGCCGCAGUAAUAC
rnacentral:rRNA from 1 species